AUUGAACGCUGGCGGCAGGCCUAACACAUGAAAGUCGAGCGGAGCGGCGGACGGGUGAGUAAUUCCUAGGAAUCUGCCUGGUAGUGGGUGAUAACGUACGGAAACGGGCGCUAAUACCGCAUACUCUCAGUUGAGCCUAGGUCGGCUUAGCUAGUUGGUGGGUUAAAGGCCUACCAAGGAGACGAUCCGUAACGGGUCUGAGAGGAUGAUCAGUCAACCUGGAACAGAGACAAGGUCCAGACUACUACGGGAGGAAGCUGUGGGGAAUAUUUGACAAUGGGCGCAAGCCUGAUCCAGCCAUGCCGCUUGUGUGAAGAAGGUCUGCGGAUUGUAAAGCACUUUAAGUUGGGAGGCGUUACCAACAGAAUAAGCACCGGCUAACUUCGUGCCAGCCGCGGCGGGAAUAC
rnacentral:rRNA from 1 species